rnacentral:rRNA from 1 species
CCUACGGGCGGCAGCAGUGGGGAAUAUUGGGCAAUGGGCGCAAGCCUGACCCAGCAAUGCCGCGUGAAGGAAGAAGGCUUUCGGGUUGUAAACUUCUUUGAAAGGGGAAGAGCAGAAGACGGUACCCUGAAAACAAGCCACGGCUAACUACGUGCCAGCAGCCGCGGUAAUACGAAGGUGGCAAGCGAUGUCCGGAUUUACUGGGUGUAAAGGGCGUGUAGCCGGGAAGGCAAGUCAGAUGUGAAAGCUGGAGGCUCAACCUCCAAAUUGCAUUUGAAACUGGUUUUCUUGAGUACUGGAGAGGCAGGCGGAAUUCGUUGUGUAGCGGUGAAAUGCGUAGAUAUAAGGAAGAACACCAGUGGCGAAGGCGGUCUGCUGGACUGCAACUGACGGUGAGGCGCGAAAGCGUGGGGAGCAAACAGGAUUAGAUACCCUUGUAGUC